rnacentral:lncRNA from 1 species
GGGGCUUCCUAGUCAGAAGCCCUCUGUAAGGCACUAACUUCCCUCUUCCCUCUGCAGAUUUUUUUUUUUUUUUUUUUUUUGAGACGGAGUCCUACUCCACCCAGGCUGGAGUGCAGUGGCACAAUCUUGUCUCACCACAGUCUCUGCCUCCCAGUUCAAGUGAUUCUCCUGCCUCAGCCUCCCAAGUAGCUCGGAUUACAGGCAUGCACCACCAAGCCCAGCUAGUUUUUUUGGAUUUUUAGUAAAGACGGGGUGUCACCAUAUUGAUCAGGCUGGUUUCGAACUCCUGACCUCAGCUUCCAAUUGUGGACAAGAUAAGGACCAUUGCCCAGGCUGUCUAUGGAGCCAAAGAUAUCGAACUCUGUCCUGAGGCACAAGUCAAAAUAGAUCGUUACACUCAGCAGGGUUUUGGAAAUUUGCCCAUCUGCAUGGCAAAGACCGAUCUUUCUCUGUCUCACCAACCUGACAAAAAAGGUGUGCCAAGGGACUUCAUCUUACCUAUCAGUGAUGUCCGGGCCAGCAUAGGUGCUGGGUUCAUUUACCCUUUGGUCGGAACGGUGCACCACUGACAUCAUGGCUCGGCUGGACUCUGGAAAGCAGGAAAUUGCUGGAGCAUGUUUGGGCAUCAAUGAUGUCAUCCGCUACGAAUGCCGGGUGGGGUUACUGGACUGAGGGCCAUGAAAAAAGAAAGCUGCGGCCCUGCCCCGUGGACUCACUGCCAUUCUGUUCUUUCUCACGUUUCAGUUCAGCUCACUUUGUUUUCCGUCCCCCUCCCUCUACUGUAAAAGUAUGUACUCAGUGUUUCAUUUCCUGCUGGAUCUGAUUCAGGUCAGUGAUGAAGUUCUUUGCGAGCUCAGUGGGGAGGCGUUUCC